rnacentral:rRNA from 1 species
AUUGAACGCUGGCGGCAGGCUUAACACAUGCAAGUCGAGCGGGGAAGGUUGCUUUGGUAACUGACCUAGCGGCGGACGGGUGAGUAAUGCUUAGGAAUCUGCCUAUUAGUGGGGGACAACAUUCCGAAAGGAAUGCUAAUACCGCAUACGCCCUACGGGGGAAAGCAGGGGAUCUUCGGACCUUGCGCUAAUAGAUGAGCCUAAGUCGGAUUAGCUAGUUGGUGGGGUAAAGGCCUACCAAGGCGACGAUCUGUAGCGGGUCUGAGAGGAUGAUCAGCCACACUGGGACUGAGACACGGCUCAGACUCCUACGGGAGGCAGCAGGUGGGAAUAUUGGACAAUGGGCGGAAGCCUGAUCCAGCCAUGCCGCGUGUGUGAAGAAGGCCUUUUGGUUGUAAAGCUCUUUAAGCGGGGAGGAGGCUCCUUAGUUAAUACCUAAAGAGAGUGGACGUUACUCGCAGAAUAAGCACCGGCUAACUCUGUGCCAGCAGCCGCCGUAA